rnacentral:rRNA from 1 species
AUUGAACGCUGGCGGCAGGCCUAACACAUGCAAGUCGAACGAGUGGCGGACGGGUGAGUAAUGUCUGGGAAACUGCCUGAUGGAGGGGGAUAACUACUGGAAACGGUAGCUAAUACCGAAAACCAUCAGAUGUGCACAGAUGGGAGUAGAUAGUUGGUGGUGUAACGGCUGACCAAGGCGACGACACCUAUCUGGUCUGAGAGGAUGACCGGCCACACUGGACCUAAUACGAGGUCCAGACUCCUACGGGAGGCAGCAGUGAAGAAUAUUGCACAAUGGGCGCAAGCCUAAUGCAGACAUGCCGCGUGUAUGAAGCAGGCCUUCGGAGUGUAAAGUACUUUCAGCGGGGAGGCGUUACCCGCGGAAGAAGCACCGGCUAACUCCGUGCCAGCAGCCGCGGUAAUUC